rnacentral:rRNA from 1 species
UACAGAGGUCUCAAGCGUUGUUCGGAUUCACUGGGCAUAAAGGGCGCGUAGGCGGCUUCAUAAGUCAGGGGUGAAAUCCGGCAGCUUAACUGUCGCAGUGCCUUUGAUACUGUGGAGCUCGAGGGAGGUAGGGGUCUGUGGAACUUCCGGUGGAGCGGUGAAAUGCGUUGAUAUCGGAAGGAACGCCGGUGGCGAAAGCGACGGACUGGAUCUCUUCUGACGCUGAGGCGCGAAAGCCAGGGGAGCAAACGGG